rnacentral:rRNA from 1 species
UACGAAGGGGGCUAGCGUUGCUCGGAAUCACUGGGCGUAAAGCGCACGUAGGCGGAUUGCUAAGUCAGGGGUGAAAUCCUGGAGCUCAACUCCAGAACUGCCUUUGAUACUGGGGAUCUCGAGUCCGGGAGAGGUGAGUGGAACUGCGAGUGUAGAGGUGAAAUUCGUAGAUAUUCGCAAGAACACCAGUGGCGAAGGCGGCUCACUGGCCCGGUACUGACGCUGAGGUGCGAAAGCGUGGGGAGCGAACAGG